GUGCGCUCGAUACUCAUACAUUUGGCAGGAAAUCAUCAUAGGCCAUACCUCUCGAAGUCAAAUACCGUAACAUACUGCAUUCGAUUAGAUAUCACCAUCGAAGGGGGCGAACACUCACUUGCCAAUUACGUAGAGUCCGUGCCUGUACACCGAAACUAUGUCGAGAAACGGGAUCCUUGAUUGCAGAUCGUUGAUGUAAAAUCAAUUUUGCGCCAUACUUGCUCAUCCUUCACCUAUAAAUGAACCCUGACUAUGUGAAGGGAAUAUGUUAUCUUCUUCCUAUUAUAGUUACUCCAUGUUCGUUAACUAGCCGAAUCCUUUCUAUUGGUCCUUGCCCGCUUUUAGUUUGUUCAUUUCUUUGAUAAGUUUGCUUAAACAUUUCGACUGACAUUGGCAGCAAGCAAUAAAAGCCAGCAAGAGCGUGCGACGCAAUACCCUUUGAAAAUGUUGUAUCGAACAAGUGGCAAUAAUAACGUCUGAUGGAAGGACCACGAGAAUAUAGUCAGGAGUUCUACGUCAUCAUUGACUCUGCCGUUAACGUUCGUAACAGGAACAACGUCAGUAGCAGCUUAGCAGCGCGUCUUUGUAUGGACGACCUUGACAACUUAAUGGCAUCGGUUUCGCAGCACCAACCAAUCAUCGCCAAAUAGACAAGCUCUACUACUGGCAGUGUAUUUCCUACAAGCCGGCGCUGUUUCCGGCAACGAAACCGACCUGUCCGUUUGCCAAAUAAAAUCCUACUCGAAACUAAAUUCGUCUCGGCGGCUUCCAAUCAGAAUGAAACAAAAGGGCUGGUUGGGAACCUAGCAAGCAGUUACGUGAUCGCUUCGCUGUGUCAGUGCCGUGCAGCCGGGAGCCAACGAGCGUGUCGGCUCAUUGAACUAAUACUCAAACCGCUUAUCAAUCACUGAAUGUGUCCUGAGCGGUCCAUUGGUUCUUUAUUAAGGCUUCCGUAUUGUAUAUUCCAUUACUAAAGGCUCCAAUGCCUGCUCGCGGUGACGCAUGCUGAAGGCGGUCAAGCUCAAUGAAAAGCCCCAGGUCCACCUUAUUGUAUAUUUCUAGGAUGGAGAUCUAUACAACAUGUAUCAACCGUGGUACUUGUUCCUAAUGGAAACCGAUUUUGCAAUAGACGAAAGCGAUCUCAAGAGCGAAUAGUACGUCGUUCUACAAAAACUCUUCGUGAACAAUCUCCUUCUUCGCAGCGUACCCGCUCUGCGGAAGUCAGCUUAAUUUUGACACGUUCCAUUUGGGCUUGAUGCCGGUCAUUCGAUAGCAUCUAGUUGUAAAUGUACCAAACAAACUCUACAGGUACGUUUACUUUUAUAAGGGCUAGAAGGAGUUCAACCUUUAGUUCCGGUAUAGCUACCAAGAUGCGAUAUUGUCCCUGAAUUUUUUUUCCCUGCGCUAAUAAACGUUUUCAGCACCAGGAACUAAGUAACUGCCUUCUGAUUCCACAAAGAAAAAUCCAUGGGGUUAGGUCCAGUUGCAGGGCCAGGCUUUUCCACCUUUCCUCAUAGGAUCUGCAUGAGCUGAACAAAUUACCUGAAUUACCUUAGAACAAAAGCAAAGUAAAAGCAUUAUGUCUAAAGUUAAAAGCUGCCAAGCCAACCCUUUUCUCUUUGGGCUCGAAGAAAGCGGCGCCUGUGAAGUAGUACCGGUCAAGCUGCAACGCGACAUUUUCCUAUAGCCCUCAAGUGCCUUCGUACCUAUAAGUUUGAUCUGAAACGAAGGUACUAAGUCAGAUUGCAGCAUACAACUGUAAUGGCCUAAUCUCGUCUCCGAACCGACUGAACCCUUCUUGGAUCUGGGAGAAGUAGAGUACAAUAUAACGAUUUACAGGGUCCACAACAAACAGUGUCGAACCAAGGCAACGCAGUAUUUCUGUGCUUCGCUCCAACGAAAGGAAAAGACACUGAAGAAGACCAAGGUACUUGGACAAGAUGUCAAUGACAAAUGUUGCUUGAUGCAAUCUUCUCUUCUCUGCCAUGAGGAUGUAUUCCUUUGACUGAAACCAUUUUUCAAAUUAAAAACUAGAUCUAUUAGCAGCUGCAAUCGCAUUCAACCAUGUAGAUCACAAAACAACUUAAGGUUAGCACAAAGUACGCAUGGCAAUUUUGCUUGGUAUGAAAUGCUCCUUUAUAUGAUUUUACAAGACAAGCCGACCGGUAUUCCGUUACUUUUCACUGCAGUGAAAUAUAUUCUAUAUUUAUCAUAGAUUUAUAAACGUGCCUCAACAGUAGCACGUGGUAUUUGAGUGCACAGCUCCGGUACGUAAUGUCAUCAGGAUUGAUACGUGAGGUCGCUGUUCGCGCAUCCGUUGUAAGCAUUUCCGAGCUUAAUUUUUAAAUCUCAUUUGUCUUUUUUUUUUUGUUUUUACUACAGAAUAAGCAAAAGGACGAGCAAAUAAGCGUUAGAAUAUAGCUGUCGUAUGACCUUUUUGUUGCGUCGAUGCCAUGCUGCAUUUCAGUUAUAGCACCUAUGCCUGUAUGUUACAGCCAACAUGACUGGGCAGAUCUCUGCUGCGUCUGUUAUGGAUCUAACGUUCUGUGUUUUCGAGUGCUCAGUAAAUGCCGCACGCCCCUUUUAUUGCCCUUCACUUGGUCGAGAGCUCGGCUUUGUUUAUAAUAAACAGAUACUUAAACAUACUACACUUAAACUUCUUAUAGUGCUGUCAUUAUAGGCCGCUUACCGAGAGAAUUUCAAUAACUUCGAAUAAAAAUUGUUGCUGGUGCUGAUGUUGAAGCCAGUCAGACAGACGGGAUCAACACAGAAAACGUGCUCACGGCUUCUCAGGAGGUUAGUGCUUCGAUUAUAGGUUGGACCGUACAUAUUACGAUGCCUGGCGCAUAUAGAAAUGAACAUAAUGUCGGAUAAUAUCGAAGGGGAAUGCACAGAGAUCACGCAGAGGCGUUUCAACAAGCAAGUAACCGUUCUCCCCGGUGCACGCGAUGCUGGCCAAUCUUUUCGCUAGCCUAUCGCCAGUUGUCUUCAGUAGCGUGGCGCCAACAUCAACGCUGCGGAGAAACGUUCGACUGUUGUAAUCUGCUACGGUGACGCUAGUAUAGAUAUUUACGUUUACCGACCUGAACGAGACGAAAAGAAGACUGCCACUCAUCAAAACGUAAUGUAAAAGCGUUUGCUGCAGAAAUAAUAGCAACUGCUAUCGAACGGUCAGAUGAUUGUGGGUUCAUCAUCAGCACUUGGUUCAUGGCCACUUCGGUUGGCUUAUGCGUACGGCGACUAGGAAACUAGGAAGCUUUCGAGAGUACUGAAUAAUUAUAGGUUUAUGUUUAUCUUCCUCAAGUCAUCCAUUUGGUCGCCUGUCACGCUGUGGCGUGCGUGGCAGCUGCAAUUAAGCCAUCUCUUUCUAUAUCGUCAGCGUUCAGCGUCUAUUUGUUCUCAAGUCGAUCCAACGAGCUGCUCUUUUCUUACCUAGAUUAAAUCUUCUGCUGUUCUAAGCAGAGUCACGAAACGAUACAUAUCCUGCGUGCUUCGAAACAGGCGGCAUUCUGCUUGUAAAAGUGCCAUUGAUAUAAUGGUGUAGCAUAGGCACGCUAGAAUAAAACCCGUCUGCUGACACAACAAUUUAACUCAGGUUUUUGAAAGGCUAGCAAAGUUUUGCGCUUUUCUGAACGUAUAUUAAAUAACAUUAGCAAUAAUAAUAAUAAUAAACCGGUAUCUUUUUCAGCUCACGUAAUCCGUUGCACGUCCCUUGUUCAGCUCGAGGCUAUGUCGAUUCUACUGUGACUAUCCAUCUUAUUUAAGUAACAAACGAAGAUUUAUUGUGCGAGUAAUCUGACCACCGCGUGUACAGGCGUCGUUCUAGAUCCAUACAAUGCCAGCGCAUGUGAAUUCAAGCAUUAGACAUGCAGAUAUGCCUAACGAUAUGUAGCCGUUUAGCAAAAAGAAACAACACAUGGGAAACAUGUACGCGAUACGCAGUUCUACCCAACACCAUAAAAACAGAACGACAAACAGGAGCACCACAUCGUAGGCUUCGAUUUGGCGUCAACUAUAAAUAACCGGCGUUACUAUUUUUGUUCAUGAUAAAAGCCACUCCCUCAAACUCGGAACUCUAGCAGCUGGGUCACAAAGGCAGCUUUAAGCGUAAAACCAGUAGAAAGCACCGGAUUCAGCCAGUCUAUUUUUGUUAGCUUCCGUAGAGGCAUCAUACAGCAGUCCCUGGUCAGAAACGAGGCAGUUUCUGGUUGAACUUAUCUUUUCUAUCAAACGUUGCUUCCGUAUGUAUUUUUUUGCAGACCAAACAUACUUAUUUGUGUUAUCAAAUUCACUAUGCGAAGACGGUUAGCAAAUAUUGCCAACUAAUACCUUGACUUGUUACGCAUACACCACAGGAGACGAACCGCUAUUGGCAAUUUACAGAUACACUUAUGGAGAAAUUACGAGAGAUCCGCGUGCGUAUCAUGCCGACUACAGGCGAUAAACGAAGACGCUCUACCGUUCUUACCGAGCUGAUGUAAGCUUAUUAAUAGUAGUAUAAAAAUGAGGUCAGCUUCGGAGAAAAUUGGAUUUCAACUCUCCUCAGACGUGAGUUGGAGAUGCGGACAGAUUCGCAUGGUCACGUAACGGUUUGUUAAUCUGAUGGGUCAUACCUCAGUGGCUAAUAAAUUAUAUACAAGAGAAGCAAGCUCGUAAGAAAAGUCACAGAGCUAGCGAUCUAAACCAAUACUUUACCAGUUUCUGAGGGGCACAUCUGGAGGUUGCGUGUUAAAGUUCUACAGCGGUGACGACAUGACCUCUAACUAGUUGAAGUUUUGUUAGCUAACUUGAAGUUGUGUAAAUUCUCGAAUUCGAAUAAAUGCAUCUGUUUCGUGCUGCUGAAUAUCAGAAUAUUUUGUAAUAGUGCUAAUGCAGGUGUUGAACUGUAAAGCUUGGAGGGACCGCGGGAAAGAUUCGAGCGAUGUCCAGAGUAAGCCAAGUCUCUGAAGCAAUAUCGAAGGACAACUCAAAGAUCUGUCUGCGAAAUAAAAAAGGAUUAAUAAAAAUUGUGGAGUCUUCAUAGCGUGGCUAGCAGUACGUGGCUGAUGGCAGCUCGGUGCCUUGAUUUUGAGUCUUGCUCGUUGCAGAACAAUAGUGCAUAUAUAAAUAAUUUUUAUUUGUUAUUAUAAUAAUAAUUAUUAUUAUAUAUUGUAUUAUAAUCUUUAUCCUGCUAGACAAAGUUCCGCGUCAAGAGAGUUGAUUAAAUUUGGCGUAAUCCGAAUUAUUCUGUACUCUAAAUAUUCGCGUACUCGAUGACGUGUAGGGUCUCAUUUGAUGCUCGUAAACGGUGCAAUGAUACGUAUCGCUAAGUCAACGUUGUUUCCUUUCCUUCCGAUCUUCGAAACCUUUUCCGAUCGAAGCAUAAAACUGUUAUAUGAAAAAAUUAAUUUUUAACUACUUUACUUGCUUAAUUUUUCCUCAGAAUUAUAUAAAACUUUCAACUAGCUUAAUUUACAAUAACGUUUAUUCCAACUAGACAAGGAUCAUCGAUUGUUUUGCCAACGGUGGUUUUUCGCAAAUAAAAACGGUUUGACAACUGUGAAACAGUUUCGAAGCGACGCUACUACAGUUAUCAGCUAUAAUGACAAACCUUGUCACACAACGUACAUUGGUUGAGGGUGCUGCUGGCGUGUUCCUGGACGUGUCCACCAAUGUGAAUUAAUGAACAAAAAAUUAAGGUCACAGCAAACUGCGUUAAUAGGCAUUGUAUCGGAAAUCAAUAAAAGCAUUGUACAAAACAACACUAACGGCUGUAAUGAAAUAUAUAUAUAUACGUAUAUGAAUAUAUACAGUACCCGGUUGUACGGUACACAUUCAUAAACUAAACAACUUUUCUAUAACGCAUAAGUAGUUCUAUAAGUCUAUUUCUAGAGGGCUUACGCGAUAAUACUGGCGCUUCCAACAACAGUCGUGUUAGCGCUACAGAGUCGCUUCUCAAGCUGAGUUUGGCCCUGGUAUUAGCAGCUGGCUACGACGGCUCUAAAGCGUAACUGCCUGGUGUCGUUGGAAAUAGGUCACACCGCCCGGGGCAAAUAAAAGAAGCUUGCUAGACCUACAGUUGCAACUGUUUCGUUUUACGGUUGUUAAGGAACUUGACCGCUGGGGCAUUCAGCAAGCUAACUUGUAGGAUUGUCGCUAUGAACAGAUCAUGGUAGUGGGGCACUGCGCAAAAUCUCACGAGAUUACAACAUGUGUUAUUGCCUACAAACACAGAAUUUAUUUCAGGGCAAAUAACGUUUUUAAUGAGCAUGUGCCUUCAGCAAUAUUUAAGCCGUGAUCAGCUUAGCAGUUGUUAGUAGUAGAAACAAUUCGAUAGUGUUGGCAGCUUCAAUGCAGAACCUUAUCCGUUGCCGCACAUAAUUCGUGGUAUUAUAUAAAUAGAAAAUGUUCAUAUUAUUUUAAACGUUGACGAUUUAUGAAAUCGACUUGUUACUUACCGAAAAUACGAAAACUGUGCUAUAGCCAUCCGCAUCGUGUUGUUUUGCAGUAAUAGGGAAACACCUAACAUUGGAUUUAAUUAAACCCAUGCGUGGCCAUCUUGCAAUGCGCAGUACAAUUGAACGUUAUGUCGUCAAACAUAGGUUCAAAUUUUAGGCUUACGAUGCUGCUUCGUCGAUGCCACUUUUUCUGUCAACUGAACUAGCAGGUGUUCAAUGAAUUCCGCGACAGCGAAAAAAGCAUUACUCUUAUACUAUGCGCAGAUAUUCUUGAGUAUCCGGAGCCCCUUCGGCUCUGCACUGGUGCCAACACUAACCCAAAGUAGGGCAUCAUAGAAUAGUUCCUAUAGAGACGCCAAAUACGCGUAUCUAAAGCUGAUCCUCUGACCAGCACGAGUGAAAAUUAACGGUGUCUACCUUCGGAUGUCUUUGAGAACUCGAUCUCCUACGAGCGUCAGCAGCGGGAAUGGUGUCGAGGCUCUGAAGCGGUAACUUCAACUCGGCUAAAUAGACCUAGACAUUUCCUGAACGGACCAGGGUGUCAUAACGCUGCUGUCGUUGGCACAACGAAAUUGCCCAUGGCCCUCUUAUAUUCCAGGUCUUUCUAUUUGCUACUGCGGUAAAUUUUGUUACCCCGGCUUCUAUUAUUUCCUAUAGUGUUGAGUAAUAAUGCAACAUGUGUCUUCAUUAUCAUGUCUGCUACCCGCCAAGCUUUCCAGGGGUAGAUGUUAGCGACGGCGAUUUACAGUCGGUGACGUCGAACGUGGAGGCGUCAAUUACUAUCCAACGGCUUCCCAACCGCUGCCUAAUUUCGAAACAGCCUUAACAGUGGCCUCUGGCCUAUUCCAAUAGCUUUGUGGACACAGCGGGAUUAACCGGCUGAUUAAAAAACUCCAUUAUUAAUUAUAGUUGGUAUUUGGCAUCCUCCACCGUAGGGCAGAUAAUUUAAAUAAGCAAUGCACACGUCUGCCAGCGGCAUAAAUUCGAACCCGGGGUUAAAAUUAUUGUCUCUAAGGAACUGAACAACAUAGACGGUUAAAUAGCGGGGUAGAACCCGCUGUAAAACAUACUUUGAGCAUUUCUGUACCCUUUAGUCCUAGACUCCAAGGCAGAGAACUUUGAGGUAACCUUAAAGUGUGUGCACCUUUAUAUACCUGUAUAUGUGACAAGCGGUCUUGGUACGAAAGUCACAUGGUGAAUCACGCUACGAAUUAAAUAUAGCUAUAUUGUGUUCCGAUUCGAUGCCCGUCAGCCAGCUUGUGGGCUUGCUGUACCAAAACGAAAAAAACCGCCUUUCCCACUCAUUUUUAACAGUAAUAAAUAGCAUCAUAAUUUAACCACUUGUCGAUGAGGCAGCUUUAGUUACUAUAGCUUUGCUAUUGUCUAAGUUGUACCACGGGCAACGUGAGGUCCCAAAAGAGAUUUAGGCUUACUACAAGGAUAACUGAUUUUUAAUAACAAAACGUGUAAGUUUAAAUGUACAGGCUCAUUUUCUAGCCAGCAUAUUCACGGAAGUUAAAACAUCAUCACACGAAGCGCUCUUCUAUUAUGGCUGCUAGUAUUACUGCUCAUAUUCUAUAGGUGAUGUUGUGUUUACAAAAAAGCGUCAUUAUCAAAUGUCACAGCGGGAUAGAUAUAUGUCAUUUAGCAUUAAUCAGAUACUAAUUCAAGCCAAUGUAAUACGGUUUUCAAUUCAGCUGAAUAAAUUUGUCAGCUUCGAGCAGCAGCAACGUCGAUCUGGACGUGUUCCAGCAAAUACGUUACGUUGCUUCUUCAUUUUAUAUCAGACCAUAAAAGGCUUUGUAGAAAUGAUGAUGUGUCCCGAUGCUUGCAAAAGCUGUUUCUAAGCUGUCUCAUUCAUUGCACUAUGGUUACUAAGACCAUAUGAUGUGUUUGAUUAGCACAACUUACUAUGCAUUUUAAACGUUCGCGCGCUUUCUAUCGCUGCUAUCUGUUUUCAACCUUGUGCUUUCCUUCGAACCUUUGAUAGGAUAGAAACGAGAAGGAUUUUUUUUCCUGGUAUCCUGAGCUCACAUUUGCCGCAUAACUGCCAUUCUUUGGACGGUAAUAGUCUCUUGAUAUUUAUGCUGUCCUAUUUACUUCACGUUUAAAUCACCUAACUUAGAGUGAUACAUUAGGUUCAGUGUGAAAGGUUCGCUCCGCGUUAUUCUCUCUCAAAAUAAUAUGAGACUAGAAAUAAAUCAGAAAGCGAACGACACGUUUGAACGGGCUGUAACAGUG